rnacentral:rRNA from 1 species
CGGUAAUACGGAGGGUGCAAGCGUUACUCGGAAUCACUGGGCGUAAAGCGCGCGCAGGCGGUCUAUUAAGUUGGAUGUGAAAGCCUACGGCUCAACCGUAGAACUGCAUCCAAAACUAUUAGACUAGAGUGUGGGAGAGGAAGAUGGAAUUAGUUGUGUAGGGGUAAAAUCCGUAGAGAUAACUAGGAAUACCAAAAGCGAAGGCAAUCUUCUGGAACACUACUGACGCUGGGGCGCGAAAGCGUGGGGAGCAAACAGGAUUAGAUACCCUGGUAGUCCACGCAGUAAACGAUGAAUGUUAGUCGUCGGGGGCCUAGUGUCUUCGGUGAUGCAGCUAACGCAUUAAACAUUCCGCCUGGGGAGUACGGUCGCAAGAUUAAAACUCAAAGGAAUAGACGGGGACCCGCACAAGCGGUGGAGCAUGUGGUUUAAUUCGAAGAUACGCGAAGAACCUUACCUAGCCUUGACAUAUUUGAAAAUCCACCAGAGAUGGAGGAGUGCCUUCGGGAGUUCAUAUACAGGUGCUGCACGGCUGUCGUCAGCUCGUGUCGUGAGAUGUUGGGUUAAGUCCCGCAACGAGCGCAACCCUCGUCACUAGUUACUAACGAUUCGGUCGAGGACUCUAGUGAGACUGCCUUCGCAAGAAGGAGGAAGGUGAGGACGACGUCAAGUCAUCAUGGCCCUUACGGCUAGGGCAACACACGUGCUACAAUGGCCAGGACAGUGAGAAGCGAUACCGCGAGGUGGAGCAAAUCUAUAAACCUGGUCUCAGUUCGGAUUGUAGUCUGCAACUCGACUACAUGAAGCUGGAAUCACUAGUAAUCGUAGAUCAGCUAUGCUACGGUGAAUACGUUCCCGGG